UAGGUGGGGAAACUGAGGCAAAGGGUGUUUAAAUGGUCUGCCCAAAGUCACACAGCUAAGAAGCAGUGAUGGGAUAUGAAGUCAAACAGUCUUAAAAGCAAGCUAUCCUGUUGCAAAAUAGAAAUUAGUUGAUAACGUCUUCCAGGAGACCUACGGCCAUCCUACUGAUAUGAACCAGAUCAUACCUGCCCUGAUGGGAUGCCAGAGAAAGACUGCUGCAAGGUACGCGCCACUCACAGACCUCUCCAUUUAUCUCACUGAUGCAAAGGACCCUGAGGUAUAAAACAGCAUGAAGAAAA
rnacentral:lncRNA from 10 species